GAAAUCCUUAUGAUGGGAAACUUCCACGUUAGGUUUGGAGAGAGAUGGGACCCGUUAUAGUUUAGGGGCAGCAGAUGCAAGCUUUUUCUUUCCAUAGCCGGCCAAAUGACUACCGGAUCAUCGGUCUACUCUAC
rnacentral:ncRNA from 1 species